rnacentral:rRNA from 1 species
UACGGAGGGAGCGAACGUUGCUCGGAUUUACUGGGCGUAAAGGGUGUGUAGGCGGUCUUGCAAGUCAGGGGUGAAAUCUCUCGGCUCAACCGAGAAACUGCCUUUGAGACUGCAGGACUUGAGGGCGUGAGAGGAGACUGGAAUUCCUAGUGUAGCGGUGAAAUGCAUAGAUAUUAGGAGGAACACCAGUGGCGAAGGCGAGUCUCUGGCACGCAUCUGACGCUGAAACACGAAAGCCAGGGGAGCGAACGGG